rnacentral:tRNA from 1 species
GGGGUCGUAGCGCAGAGGCAGUCGCACCGCACCGCCAGUGCGGAGGACGCGGGUUCGAAUCCCGCCACCCCG